rnacentral:rRNA from 1 species
UACGAAUGGCGCGAGCGUUGUUCGGAAUCACUGGGCGUAAAGGGUGCGCAGGCGGUCAUGAAAGUUAGAAGUGAAAUCCCCGGGCUUAACCCGGGAAUGGCUUUUAAAACUCCAUGACUAGAGUAUUGGAGAGGUUAGCGGAAUUCCGAGUGUAGCAGUGAAAUGCGUAGAUAUUCGGAGGAACACCAAUGGCGUAGGCAGCUAACUGGACAAUAACUGACGCUCAUGCACGAAAGCGUGGGGAUCAAACAGG